rnacentral:rRNA from 1 species
UGUGUUUGAUCAUGGCUCAGAUUGAACGCUGGCGGCAGGCCUAACACAUGCAAGUCGAGCGGUAGCACAGAGAGCUUGCUCUCGGGUGACGAGCGGCGGACGGGUGAGUAAUGUCUGGGAAACUGCCUGAUGGAGGGGGAUAACUACUGGAAACGGUAGCUAAUACCGCAUAACGUCGCAAGACCAAAGUGGGGGACCUUCGGGCCUCAUGCCAUCAGAUGUGCCCAGAUGGGAUUAGCUAGUAGGUGGGGUAAUGGCUCACCUAGGCGACGAUCCCUAGCUGGUCUGAGAGGAUGACCAGCCACACUGGAACUGAGACACGGUCCAGACUCCUACGGGAGGCAGCAGUGGGGAAUAUUGCACAAUGGGCGCAAGCCUGAUGCAGCCAUGCCGCGUGUAUGAAGAAGGCCUUCGGGUUGUAAAGUACUUUCAGCGAGGAGGAAGGC